GGAUAAACCCAGCAAUAAACAGCAAGGAUAAACCCUUGUACCUCUUGCAUCAUGAUUUAGAGAGAACAACCAAGCAAAAUGAACUCAAGCUUGCCACUGGAAACCCAAGCGAGCUACUUGCAAGCAGCUACCCGUAAGCAAACCUGCGUCUGUUGCAAAAGAGUGGGAUGAUUUGCUAGUAGGGGUGAAAAGCCAACAGAGGCAGGUGAUAGAUUUGUUUCACAGGCAACCAGCUAAGUUCCCUCUUGACCUCCCUCCACGGACAUUCAAUCUAACCUCCAUGUAGUAGAUCAAGAGCAAUUUAGAGGAGGUACAGCUCCUUUAAAAAAAAAGAACACAAUCUCUCCUAGAGGAUAACUACUCAACUAACUUCCCAAAACUGUAGGCCUUCAAGCAGCCACCACCAAAGAGUGCAUCAAAGCUCUGUGUGUAAAAAUCCAAGAACAACACGACUCCCUUCUCACUAACAAGCCAACCUAUAGCAAUAGGAUAAUCAAUGCUAGAAUGAGUAACUGAGGGCCUUCCCCUCUCAAGUGCAAGCUUACAUCCCCACAUUAUUAACAGACUACAACUAAUAUCUCAAUUCCAACAAGAUUAAGAUAUUAAACCCCACCCUGUUACCCCAACUCAGGAAAGAUUAAAAUCUGUAAAAGGAACUAGGCACACUCAAGGCACGACUGUUCACCAAAAACAGCCUUCGGCCAACCAAGUAUUGAAGGUGAUGCCUGCCCAGUGAUACAAUGUUUAACGGCUGCAGUAUCCUAACCGUGCAAAGGGAGUACAAUCAAUAAUCCCAUAAAACAAGACUUGUAUGAAUGGCUAAAUGAGGUCUUAACUGUCUCUUACAGAUAAUCAGUGAAAUUGAUACCCAACACAAUUGGCCAAUGGACCAAGCUAACCCCAGGGAUAACAGCGCAAUCUCCUCCGAGAGCCCACAAGGAGGUUUACGACCUCGAUGUUGGAUCAGGACAUCCUAAUGGUGCAGCCGCUGUUAAGGGUUUGUUUGUUUGUUCAACAAUUAACAGUCCUACAUGAUCCGAGUUCAGACCAGAGCAAUCCAGGUCAGUUUCUAUCUAUGACAAACUUUCCCCAG
rnacentral:ncRNA from 1 species